AAAUUGAAGAGUUUGAUCAUGGCUCAGAUUGAACGCUGGCGGCAGGCCUAACACAUGCAAGUCGAGCGGUAGCACAGAGAGCUUGCUCUCGGGUGACGAGCGGCGGACGGGUGAGUAAUGUCUGGGAAACUGCCUGAUGGAGGGGGAUAACUACUGGAAACGGUAGCUAAUACCGCAUAAUGUCGCAAGACCAAAGUGGGGGACCUUCGGGCCUCAUGCCAUCAG
rnacentral:rRNA from 1 species